AGCAGUAGCCACGGUAAUACGUAGGUGGCAAGCGUUGUCCGGAAUUAUAGGGCGUAAAGGGCUCGCAGGCGGACUGAUAAGUCAGGGGUGAAAUCCCAAGGCUCAACCUUGGAACUGCCUUUGAUACUGUUAGUCUUGAGUUCGAGAGAGGUGAGUGGAACUGCGAGUGUAGAGGUGAAAUUCGUAGAUAUUCGCAAGAACACCAGUGGCGAAGGCGGCUCACUGGCUCGAAACUGACGCUGAGGCACGAAAGCGUGGGGAGCAAACAGGAUUAGAUACCCGUGUAGUCCCUGUCUCUUAUAU
rnacentral:rRNA from 1 species